rnacentral:rRNA from 1 species
CACCGCGGUUAAACGAGAGGCCCUAGUUGACAAUGCAACGGCGUAAGGGUGGUUAGGGAGAGUAUUACAAUAAAGCCAAAUGGCCCCUUGGCCGUCAUACGCUUCUAGGCGCCCGAAGCCCAAUAUACGAAAGUAGCUUUAAAAGAGCCCGCCUGACGCCACGAAAGCUGAGAAACAAACUGGGAUUAGAUACCCCACUAUGCUCAGCUGUAAACCUAGACAUCCAACUACAAUUAGAUGUCCGCCCGGGUACUACGAGCAUUAGCUUGAAACCCAAAGGACCUGACGGUGCCUUAGACCCCCCUAGAGGAGCCUGUUCUAGAACCGAUAACCCCCGUUAAACCUCACCACUUCUAGUCACCCCAGCCUAUAUACCGCCGUCGUCAGCUUACCCUGUGAAGGCAAUAAAAGUAAGCAAAAUGGGCACAACCCAGAACGUCAGGUCGAGGUGUAGCGUACGAAGUGGGAAGAGAUGGGCUACAUUUUCUAUUAUAGAACACUACGGAUGUGCAACAUGAAAUAGUGCUUGAAGGAGGAUUUAGUAGUAAAGAGGAAGCAGCGUGUCCUUUUGAACCCGGCUCUGAGGCGCGUACACACCGCCCGUCACUCUCCCCUGUCAAAUGCAAUGAAGAUAAAUAACACCCGAGCGCUGACAAGGGGAGGCAAGUCGUAACAUGGUAAGUGUACCGGAAGGUGUACUUGGAUUAAAUUCAGGGCGUGGCUGAG